rnacentral:rRNA from 1 species
GUAGUGGAAAAUUUCUUAUUUAUUUAUGGAAAUGUCAGUGCCUUUAGUAGUGGGAGCGAAAAGGGGAGGUUUAAAUGAAGAGUACCGUGAGGGAAUUUUGUAUCUUUUAGUGGUUUAAUAUAAAAAAUAGUUUAAAGUACGGGUUAAGCCCGGUACCUUUUGCAUUAUGGUUAAAUGAAAGUUUAACAAAUGAGUUAACCCGAAGUAGUGCGACUUACCUUAGAGAGGAAGGAUGGCGUUGUAAAGCCAUGGACUUACUUUAAGGUAGGGGCGAGAUACCUUUUCGCGCACUAUGAUAGCUGGUUCUCCUGGAAAGGCGCCUUAGUGCUCAGCUCAUAGUUUUGUUCUUAGGGUAUGUAGGACUUCGAGAUGUUAUGAGUUGUUGGAACAAAGGGGCUAAGCUCUUUGUUCGGGCUAUGGUUAAAAUGGGGCGGUAUUCUUAGUAGGCUAUUUAGUUGCCACCUUGCAAAUCUUGUUAUAAAGAACAGCCAACCUAAUUAAAAUUUAUAGUGAUUGACCUUGUUGUAGACGGGAGCUGUAACUGCUAAUUUAUUUAUGCAGGCAUGAGAAUUUUUAAAUUAGUAGUCAAUCUAAGAUUUUUAUGGGGACAACUGUUCAGGAUAGUUCUCUAUAUUAUAAUAAGUCUUAGUUAGUAAGUGUUGCUAAGGAACUCGGCAAACUGAGCUAUCACGCCUGUUUCCCAAAAACAUGGCCCUCCGCGCAAAAGUAAUCACGGGAGGUCAUACCUGCACAAUGGCCUACGGGCUCAAUUGCCGCGGUAACCUGACCGUGCAAAGGUAGCGUAAUCAAUAGCCUAUUAAUUGUUGGCCUGUAUGAAUGGUCUUACGCUGGUGGCGCUGUCUCAAUAGCAUUAAUUUGAAUUUAACUUUUGGGUGAAAAGGCCCAGAUAAACCUAAAAGACGAUUAGACCCUAUCGAACUUUAGGUAGAUUCUCUACCGGGGCCUUGGUUAACAAGAAGCGCCUGAAUAGGGUAAAAACCUUUGGUUGGGGUAACC